UGGAGACGACUCGUCACAUGUAACACGUAUGGCUGUUCCUCCUGAGGACUAUUCACAUGAUGAGGAAUCAAACCAGGCUCUAGUUGCCAAAGUACAGAAAAGGUCCCAGUUCAAGAGGUACUGUUGGAACUCUCCAGCAAAAUGAGCAGAAAACAAGUUGAAUAUGAAUGUCUGCAGUGUGGGAGGGAGCCGUGUGAGGAUUCCAAAGGGUUCCAAUGACCCCAACGUGAUGCUGUGUAAAAUGACAUGGGGAGAAAUGAGGAAGGGAUUGAUUCAGGACGGCCAAGGAGGGAAUUCUUGAGGCUGCUGAUGGAGACCAUGGCCAGGUCCCCCAUGUUUGAGGGAGAAGAAAACAGCAAGAACUCUUGACAGUGCUGAGGGAGACGAACAGUUGAGGCUGAGCUUGGAGGUUCUGGGAAGGGGCUGAAGCCUGAGGGAAUCAGGCAGUGGCAGAUCCGACGGAGUUCCACAGUGGAAUCCAGGUGAAGCAGGUGGGGGCGUGUGAGUGGCGUGAGGCAGGUAAGAAGCAGGUAAACAGCAGCGAUGUGACGAAGCUGGUGUCCAGUAAUCCAGGAAGCUUUCUAUGAAGCGCGUGUCGAGGCUCGUGGUGAUGACGUAUGACGUAUAACCCCUAACGCAGGCGUGUCAAACUCACGUACCCAGUGGGCCAAAAUGUGGAAUGAAACCAACAAACCUUUUAAUAUGAACCCAAACAAGUUUUACUUUAACAUUGAAUCAACCAUUCAGAGAACGUUAUUAUUGCUCAGUUUGCGAAACACGGAUCUAAUCUGAAGCCAGAUUCCUGGCACCUGUUCUUGGAUGAUAGUUCAUCAAUGUCUGGGCUCAGGCUCUGAGCUGAGGAAACCCUCACCAAGGUGCUCAUCAGCCAGACGUCUCCUGUGAGAUGUUUCUAUCUUCAUCCAGGAGAAACGUAGCUCACAUCCUUAGUUACAGACACGUGGGCUCCACAGACAAGACAAACAGGUAAACAAAUAUACUUUCUUAUCGCCCUUUUUGGGAACGUGACAGUGUGGUCAGGUUGGUGGUUCCAUCUUUGCAUGUUUUAUUCUUUUACUUUUCACAUCACAAUCCUCUCCCCAAUUUGUCUCCACUUUCCCUUUUGACCCCGCCAUUGUAUCAUAAAGACAGACACCGUAUUAAUACGUUCAUAAGUUAUGUAUCACGCGUCACAAACAUCGUUCCACAGAUGCUGGUUUUGAUCCUGAAAGACUCUUGUUGAGCCGUGAGGAGGAUUCUGUUCACGAGGACCUUUGACC
ensembl:lncRNA